UAGCAGCGUCACACACCCGUGACAUUGC
rnacentral:sRNA from 1 species